AAUAUUGGGACAUAUAAAAAAAGACAACUCUGUUCCGCAGAGUAGCUGUUGACAUUAUAGUUGCGCAGGAAUUUUGUUGACUCUAAAGAACCUCGGGCAAAUCGCACAUCCCCGUGGCGGUGACUUUGCAUGCGGAUGUCAUCCAUAUCAACUUUCGAUGCCAGUUUCUGCACCUACCAUGGUGACCACGGGUAACGGGGAAUCAGGGUUCCAUUCCAUACAGGGACCCUGAGAAACGGCUACCACAUGCAAGGAAGGCAGCAGGCGCGCAAAUGACCCACUCCCGACACGGGAAGAUAGUGA
rnacentral:rRNA from 1 species